rnacentral:rRNA from 1 species
CCUACGGGAGGCAGCAGUGAGGAAUAUUGGUCAAUGGGCGCGAGGCUGAACCAGCCAAGUAGCGUGAGGGAUGAAUGCCCUACGGGUUGUAAACUUCUUUUAUCAAGGAGUAAAGUGAGGCACGUGUGCCUGUUGGUGUGUACUUUAUGAAUAAGGAUCGGCUAACUCCGUGCCAGCAGCCGCGGUAAUACGGAGGAUCCGAGCGUUAUCCGGAUUUAUUGGGUUUAAAGGGAGCGUAGAUGGGUUGUUAAGUCAGUUGUGAAAGUUUGCGGCUCAACCGUAAAAUUGCAAUUGAUACUGGCAGUCUUGAGUACAGUUGAGGUAGGCGGAAUUCGUGGUGUAGCGGUGAAAUGCUUAGAUAUCACGAAGAACUCCGAUUGCGAAGGCAGCUUACUAAACUGCCACUGACACUGAUGCUCGAAAGUGUGGGUAUCAAACAGGAUUAGAUACCCUUGUAGUC